AAUAGAUACCCUGGUAGUCCACGCCCUAAACGAUGCGCACUAGAUCGAGGAGAGUGACAUCCCCUUGGUCGAAGCAAAAGUGUUAAGUGCGCCGCCUGGGGAGUACGGUCGCAAGGCUAAAACUCAAAGGAAUUGACGGGGGCUCACACAAGCGGUGGAGCAUGUGGCUUAAUUCGAAGCAACGCGAAGAACCUUAUCCUGGGCUUGACAUGCACGGAUUAACUCCCUGAAAGGGGAGCCAACGCCCUUUGGGUGGAACGUGCACAGGUGCUGCAUGGCUGUCGUCAGCUCGUGCUGUGAAGUGUCGGGUUAAGUCCCAUAACGAGCGAAACCCCUAUCGUUAGUUGCCAGCGAGUCAAGUCGGGCACUCUAACGAGACUGCCGGUGUUAAACCGGAGGAAGGCGGGGAUGACGUCAAGUCCUCAUGGCCUUUAUAUCCAGGGCUGCACACGUGCUACAAUGCCGAUGACAAACCGAAGCAAGACCGUAAGGUGGAGCAAAUCGGAGAAAAAUCGGCCCAGUUCAGAUUGA
rnacentral:rRNA from 1 species